AGAGUUUGAUCAUGGCUCAGGAUGAACGUUGGCGGCGUGCUUAACACAUGCAAGUCGAACGAACCUUCGGGUUAGUGGCGGACGGGUGAGUAACGCGUGAGAAUCUGCCCUCAGGAGGGGGAUAACAGUUGGAAACGACUGCUAAUACCCCAUAUGCCGAGAGGUAAAAUGAAUUUUGCCUGGGGAUGAGCUCGCGUCUGAUUAGCUUGUUGGUGGGGUAAAGGCCUACCAAGGCUUCGAUCAGUAGCUGGUCUGAGAGGACGAUCAGCCACACUGGGACUGAGACACGGCCCAGACUCCUACGGGAGGCAGCAGUGGGGAAUUUUCCGCAAUGGGCGCAAGCCUGACGGAGCAACGCCGCGUGAGGGAUGGAGGCCUUUGGGCUGUAAACCUCUUUUCUCAGGGAAGAAGAUCUGACGGUACUUGAGGAAUAAGCCACGGCUAAUUCCGUGCCAGCAGCCGCGGUAAUACGGGAGUGGCAAGCGUUAUCCGGAAUUAUUGGGCGUAAAGCGUCCGCAGGCGGCCGUUUAAGUCUGUUGUUAAAUCGUGGAGCUCAACUCCAUCACGGCAAUGGAAACUGUUCGGCUUGAGUAUGGUAGGGGCAGA
rnacentral:rRNA from 1 species